CUUAAGAGGCAAAGGAACAGGACGCAAGACCCUCCCGGCACCCUUGGUUGAGCCCAGUCAAGAACAGUUCUAGCAAGCAGAGCUGGUGUUUCAUUGAAUCCUACUGAGGGGGAAGGCGAAAGAAGCCAGAAGCAAACUUCAGCUGUCUCCGCGGGUCUGUGGUUCCCGCAUUUAGAAGAGCCGCGUGCCAGAAGGCGUAGGAACCCACGGGGGACGAGGAGGAGCCCCGACUCUCCCUCGCCCAUUCCUUGAGGACAGAGGUGUGGAUUGAGGCGCGCGGGACAACAGCGGCAGAAGAGGGUAGGAGAAGAUGCGGGGCUCCCGGCCCCGGGGUGCGGGACGCCGAAGGCCCCCGGGCGGCUGCGGCGGCGACACCCUCCGUACCCCUGCGUCUCUGGCCGGCUGCUACUCCGCACCUCGCAGGGCCCCACUCUGGACGUGCCUUCUCCUGUGCGCCGCGCUUCGGACCCUCCUGGCCAGCCCCAGCAACG
rnacentral:lncRNA from 1 species